UCAGAAUGUCGCGGUGAAUACGUUCCCGGGCCUUGUACACACCGCCCGUCACACCAUGAGAGUCGAUAACACCCGAAGCCUGUGAGCUAACCGCAAGGGGCAGCAGUCGAAGGUGGGGUUGAUGAUUGGGGUGAAGUCGUAACAAGGUACC
rnacentral:rRNA from 1 species